rnacentral:rRNA from 1 species
UACAGAGGGCCCAAGCGUUGUUCGGAUUCACUGGGCGUAAAGGGUGCGUAGGCGGCAUGGUAAGUUUGAUGUGAAAUCUCCGGGCUUAACCCGGAAAUGGCAUUGAAUACUACUGUGCUGGAGGUUUGGAGGGGGGACUGGAAUUCUCGGUGUAGCAGUGAAAUGCGUAGAUAUCGUGAGGAAGACCAGUGGCGAAGGCGGAUCUCUGGACAGUUCCUGACGCUGAGGCGCGAAGGCCAGGGGAGCAAACGGG